rnacentral:rRNA from 1 species
UCGGGAAUAUUGCGCAAUGGAGGAAACUCUGACGCAGUGACGCCGCGUAUAGGAAGAAGUUUUUCGGAAUGUAAACUAUUGUCGUUAGGGAAGAGAAAGGACAGUACCUAAGGAGGAAGCCCCGGCUAACUACGUGCCAGCAGCCGCGGUAAUACGUAGGGAGCGAGCGUUAUCCGGAAUUAUUGGGUGUAAAGGGUGCGUAGACGGGAGAGCAAGUUAGUUGUGAAAUCCCUCGGCUUAACUGAGGAACUGCAACUAAACUACUUUUCUUGAGUGCAGGAGAGGUAAGUGGAAUUCCUAGUGUAGCGGUGAAAUGCGUAGAUAUUAGGAGGAACACCAGUGGCGAAGGCGACUUACUGGACUGUAACUGACGUUGAGGCACGAAAGUGUGGGGAGCAAACAGGAUUAGAUACC